UACGAAGGCCCCAAGCGUUAUCCGGAAUUACUGGGCGUAAAGCGUCCGCAGGCUGUUUGAUAAGUAUGCUGUCAAAUCUCAGGGCUUAACCCUGAGGCUGCAGCGUAAACUGUCAAACUAGAGGGUGGGAGAGGCAACUGGAAUUGUCGGUGUAGUAGUAAAAUGCAAUGAUAUCGACAGGAACACCAAAUGCGAAGGCAUGUUGCUGGAACACUCCUGACGCUCAGGGACGAAAGCGUGGGUAGCGAACGGG
rnacentral:misc_RNA from 1 species